ensembl:snRNA U7 U7 small nuclear RNA
AGCUAACACAGCUCCUUUAGAAUUUUUCUAGCAGGAUUUCUGAUUUUUGUUGGAAAAUCCAAG